GCUCCCGUGAUGCAACCAGGCAGACAUCGGAUGCCCAAACCAUCUGUUCAUGUGGGUUCGAAUCCUUCCGGGAGCACCA
rnacentral:tRNA from 1 species